AAGCAUUAACACUAAUUUUGCAACUACAGAGUGCUCCUUCACCUGUCAUAAGCAUAUUUAAACCAUAAUGUAGCAGUUUGAUAACAGAGAACAAUUGCCACACAGAAAAAAAGGAGUACUGGCAUUAAAACAAUGUGAGGUGUACCUCACUUCAGGGGUGCCCAAAUAUUGCCCAGACAGCCAAAUGGGAGAGCAAGUCACAACUACUGCAAGUACAUCCGACUUGCCUGAAGAUGAUAUGAAUCUGACUUUUUAGGCUGCAGGACUGUGUGCGCGCAGGGGCAUGCACAAAUUUUUAUUGCUGGUGAAGAAGGAGCCAAAACAGCCACCCUGGAGACUGAAUUUCUCCAUUUGUCCGCAGAAUGGGUUGGGAAUGUAUAGGAGCAGGGCAAAGCUCCCCAAGUGGCCCCAACAAAUUGUCUUGAUCCAGAGGGACAACUUCGAGACUCUUCUACACAGCAGUUCUCUGGGUGCUAGGAAGCACUUGUCAUGCUGUCAAUGAAUAAAGAAAACACCAUACACAAACAAAGCAAAACAGACUUUUAUUCUCUUAUGUUUGGAAUGAGGCAACACCGAAGCAGCAAACAACACUUUAAGAAACUACACCGGGGUAGGCAACCUAUGGCAUGCACGCCAAAUGCGGCACGCAAGCUGAUUUUC